GCAGCGGCGGUUUAGUAGUAGAAUUCCUGACUUUGAUGCAGCUGACCCAGGUUCAAUUCCCGGCCAAUGCA
rnacentral:tRNA from 1 species